rnacentral:rRNA from 1 species
UACUACGGGAGGCAGCAGUAGGGAAUCUUCCGCAAUGGGCGAAAGCCUGACGGAGCAACGCCGCGUGAGUGAUGAAGGUCUUCGGAUCGUAAAACUCUGUUAUCAGGGAAGAACAAACGUGUAAGUAACUGUGCACGUCUUGACGGUACCUGAUCAGAAAGCCACGGCUAACUACGUGCCAGCAGCCGCGGUAAUACGUAGGUGGCAAGCGUUAUCCGGAAUUAUUGGGCGUAAAGCGCGCGUAGGCGGUUUUUUAAGUCUGAUGUGAAAGCCCACGGCUCAACCGUGGAGGGUCAUUGGAAACUGGAAAACUUGAGUGCAGAAGAGGAAAGUGGAAUUCCAUGUGUAGCGGUGAAAUGCGCAAAGAUAUGGAGGAACACCAGUGGCGAAGGCGACUUUCUGGUCUGUAACUGACGCUGAUGUGCGAAAGCGUGGGGAUCAAACAGGAUUAGAUACCCUGGUAGUCCCCCCCCGUAACGAUGAAUGCUAAAUGUUAGGGGGUUUCCCCCCCUUA